UGAACACGCUGACUCAUUCGGUGCCCAUAACAACCCAAAGGUCGGCGUUUCAUCAGACGUGAGGAAGCUGAGAGUAGGGGUGGACCUGCUCGCCCAGGGUUGGGGCAAAGGGGAGGAGGCAGGGUUCUGACCCGAGGCAGCUCCCAGGCCGAGCCCCGAUCUUUCGCUCCUAGCCGUGGCCCUUUCGUGAGAGGGCCAGGGAGGGAGUGGACUUCGAGCCACGAGAAGGUUCUCCCUGCGUUUACGGGCGACCCUAGGGGCACACCAUGACCCGGGACUCACCCACGCGGAACUAAAGCGUCGCCGUAGGCAGCCCGAUCCCCGAAGGGGUCCUCAGCCGGCUCGACUAGAAGACGAAGGGGGCGUCUCCCCGGCUUCCUGCGGCGUCGGUGGCUGGCAGAGGUGGAGGCAGGCUGCGGCAGCGACAGCGACUGUGGCAGCGGCGCCAUGGCAGGGCUCGCAGGUUCGGAUCGUCUUUUAUCCCCUUCAGGGAACUGGUGUGUUGGGACAGCUUCUCUGCCCUGCCUGACAUGGUCCAAUCAUCCCAUCAGCCUUCUGGACGGCAACACCAAAGCCGGCAGAAAAAAAAGUUCCAGCUUAAGUGCCAAUGUCAAGUGUUAGAUCUUAUUUGCUUGUUUGUUUUAAAUCAGAGACUAAUUAACGUUGAGCAAAUCUGUUCAAAGAUUCAGUCACUGGAAGCCUGGUUGGUUUCCAAUGACCAAGUCAAAUCCAUAUCUGAAAUUGGUCUUGUUAGAGUUGCUGCCAAAAACAGUUUUAACUUUUAUCUGUAAUAUGUUGUUUCAAAGAGGAAUCUGGGUUAGGCUGUCUUUUCUUUUUGUUGUUCUCCUAUCUUUGAAACACAUGCAUUCCAUUUCAAGCCUGUCACUGGGUGAUAUACCAAGGACCAUGUGUUGCCUGCCUUUCUGACUUCCUGCUCUGGGAAUGCUCAGGAAUCUGGAUCCUGCUGGGGUUUGGGCCCUAUGGGAGGGAAAAGGGAGGGAAGGGAGGAUAAAUGGAAUCAUUCCCAGAGAAGAUGGUGACAACAUUUCUCUGGGGCAUAUAGAGGAAGUCAGAGGUCACCAGGGAAAAAGAGACUGUUGUUAGACUACUGUUUUGUGUGUGUGCAUGAGUGCACAUGUUUAUAUCUCUGGGGAAAAAGCUAACUGCAAAUUCAGAAUCUCCCUUUGGGGUGUUGGCUCCUAAGGAGAUACAACAUGUUUCAAAAUAGUGAAUGGCUCACAGCAAACCUCCCCUGUCCAACCCUCCUGUAAUAAACUGCUGCUGGCCCUCCAACCCAAGCUCACGAAACCUGCCCCUGCCCUACUCCAAGAACAGACAUCCCUUCCCUCAAAUUCAAACACCCCGCAGAUAGAGGUAACAGUGUCACAUAGCACCCCACCCCUCUGAAGGUUGUGGUACCCAGCACCCCACCCCCCCUCAACUUCAAUUCUAGGUUAAGAAAUUUAACAUCCUUCUCAGGGAUUAGUCCCAAGGAUCUCACCUCUUGCUGGAUCCCACAAGGCCAUUCCACACCCCUCACAACUCAUUUGCUCUGUCCUUAGCCUUGUGGAGGCAGAGUCUUGUGGGAGCAGUGAUGGUUUAGGGAAAGGGGACAUUUAGUGCUGUGACUAAGGGCUUUGCAAUAAAACACUAGUCAUUUUCAACACCUCCCAUUGCUCUCUUUCGGAAUAAAAUGUUUUAAUGGUAUAGCUUGUGGAAAAACAUUAUAAACAAGAUAUGUUUGGACCAUUGCACAGGAUGGGGAAAGUAAAUGCAUUCCUUUUGUCAUCUCUGGUAGGUUAAGUUUGCUACCAGAACAUAAGGGUUUGGGGGUAGAGAAUGAAAGUAAGAAGCGGACAUUGCACAUUCAAGCCUAACCGUGCCGGUGCAGGCCACCAGGGCAGCCCUUGCCUGGAUUUCUGUCAUCUCACCAUGCCACACUCAGAGCCCUGUUGGAUGGAUGGAGGAAAAGGGCUUUGCCAAGAUCAUCUGGAAAGCUCUGAGACUACCCGCAGCCUCUUGCCUUCUAAGGGGUGGGCACAGGAAAUACUGUGUCCAGACCAGUCAGACUUUUCCAUGCUGCUUUGGCCUGCAUCCUUGAACUCAGCUACCUUGUCACUUGGGCUGAUGUUAGAGCAUCUGAGGCAAUAGGACCAUGGGCACACCCCUCAAAGGCUCUGAGGGGAGGGCCAGCCUUCAUUGAGAACACAUGUUGAAAUAUGUUCACGGUUCUGUGGGUUUAGUGUGGAAAACCACAGAAACUCCCAGUCUCGAGGCCUGCCAAGAUACGGGCUUCAGAAGGGAGGGAUUGCGGGCAUUGCCUGCUGAUGAGUCAGUCUGGGGCAAAAGGAGACCUGCCUCGCCUUCAGGCUAUGGUAGCAGCUGUAGCCACACAGCCUAAGGAAGAUGGAGCCUCAGAUUGCACAUUCUAUCCAAGUCCUGAUGAGUCCUGAUUGCCACUUGGACAGCAGAGUGUUUCUAGUGUGUUGGGGUUCACACUGGGAUCUUAGAGGCCCUCUUACAGAGGGGAACUGAAGGUGAGGGGUGGAGGGUGACCUGUUUAGGUUCCCUGGGUUUACUGAUGGCAAAACCAAGACCAGAACCAACAUCUCUACCCGCACCCCCAUAAUUCUCUGAUGCUGAACCAAGUUGUAGUUGCCUUCAGGUGCUGGUGACUGGGCUGAGAAACCUAAGAGGCUUGCUUAAGGGAGGGAAACAUGAUCAGGCUCAAGGGGCCGAGGUACUUUGUGCUCCAGAAGUGUUUGUGACAGCUGUGACUAAGGGAUUUGAGGAAAUGGCAGGAAGAGAGAUUUAUGGCCCUCCAACUCCCUCCCUUGGUGUUGACCCAGGAACAGGUGUGUAGUGACAGGGACACAUAAAGCCAGAGACAAGGCUGAACAGGCGGCAGGCCCAUUUGGUGAGAGUCAGCUGACCCCAUGUAAGAAGAGCCCCACCUCACUGAGGAGUGGGAGAGAGAAGUCUGAAGCGGAGCAGCCAGCCCACCACCCGCCCUGACGUGAUGGCAGGGGAGAGCCCAGGGCCAGGGACCUGGAUCCCUGCUGCCUUGGUGAUCCCGGGCUGACAGCCAGAGAGCACAGCGGCUCAGCUCCUGGAGAGUGAGGGUUGAAGAAAGCGGAGGGCAGCCGCCUGCGCCCGCUGGCUCGCAUUAGGUCGGUUCCUGCAGCGGUGCUUGGCAGCCUUGGCGAAGGCCCUGCCCGGCAGAGAUCAUGUAUUGCCUCCAGUGGCUGCUGCCUGUCCUCCUCAUCCCCAAGCCCCUCAACCCCGCCCUGUGGUUUAGCCACUCCAUGUUCAUGGGCUUCUACCUGCUCAGCUUCCUCCUGGAACGGAAGCCUUGCACAAUUUGUGCCUUGGUUUUCCUGGCAGCCCUGUUCCUCAUCUGCUAUAGCUGCUGGGGAAACUGUUUCCUGUACCACUGCUCUGAUUCCCCGCUUCCAGAAUCGGCGCAUGACCCUGGUGUUGUGGGCACCUAACAGCCCACUCUGUUAGCUUUCCAAGGAAGCAGAAGACGGGAGGGGAGGCAUUGACAUAGGUCAUAAAGCAUUGGAGUUUCAAAUCCCGCAGCCGCGGGUGCCACAUUCCUGAUGGCGCCUUUUUGGCCUGUGAUGUUUUAUCCUUAUAAUGUGAAUAAUGGCACUGACCGGUGCUUUUAUUGUAGAGUCCUGUAGUCAUGGGUGGUCUUGUGGUUGUGUGUGUUCUGUCCCCAUUUUGGUCCUGGCUGGUAGGAUGGCCACCCCCCUCGCCUCACUACGGUGAAGAGUCUGCACCCAUCCUGGUCAACUGCCCUAGAGUGACCUGGGCAGAUAAAAUCCCAGUGUCAUUGUCACCUCUGUGACCCCUCCUUGUCAGGGUCUCCUUCCUUCCGUGAAUAUUAGUGACUCCCCAUUCCUCUCCCGGUUUCCCUUCUCUUCUACCCCUUUCCUUUUUGGGGGAGCGCCUAAGACAGGGCUCAUUUUUGCACUUAUCUCAAAUUUGAAGAGAUUGCUGACGCCCAAGAGCCUCGCUUUUCCCUCCUUGUUUCCUUGCUCAGCAGGCUAGACAGAAAAAUGUCUUGACUGUUUGUUGUCCACGAAUCUCCCAAUAUUUUCUCCCCUUCAUUUUUAAGAAAGGAAGCGACAGAUAGAUGUUGCUCUUUCACCUGGUGUCUGGGCUCCUGCUUGCUGGCCCAGCCCUACGUCCUUUGCCCUUCCUCCUGUCCUUCUCAGCUGUCCCGAGGGGGGGUGGGCUCAUUGUGUCUCCCGUGCAUGCUCUGCGGGAUUGAAGUAUUGUGUGUUCGUGUAGAUCUAGUAGUCCCCAGCUGAAUGAGUGGGAGAGUACUUGUGUGUUUCGUAACAGCCAUGAAUCCCUUGAUAGGUGUUUGGAUAUUUUUUGAUGUGCCCUGUGUAUGUGUGUGUAUGUAUGUAUGUACAAAUACAUGUGUGUAUAUUCCUUUUAAAGAAGCUUUAUCGAAUGUGUUCUGAUUUUGAGGUUUAGCAGUAGCUAGCUAUAUAUAGUAGGUGCCGCUACAGUUUUUAUUUAGCAUGGGGAUUGCAGAGUGACCAGCACACUGGAUUCCGAGGUGGUUCAGACAAGACAGAGGGGAGCAGUGGUCAUCGUCCUCCCGCCAGGAGCUUCUCCGUUCCUGCGCAUAUAGACUGUGCAUUAUGAAGAAUACACAGGAAGACUUUGUGACUGUCACUUGCUUCUUUUUCUGCGCUUCAGUAACAGUGUUGGCAAACGAGACUUUCUCCUGGCCCUGCCCACUGGGGAUCAGCAUGGUUGUCCUUCCAGUCUGAACCAUCCAUCUCUCUUUUGCCUGAGGGGAGAGGGAGGUGGGCCAGGCAGAGAACAGAACUGGAGGCAGUCCAUCUAGGGAAUGGGACUGUGAGGCUGCAAGGCCACACUUGUGAAACGUUUGGACUGCUGUUCUAGAGCUUUUCUUUCUGGUGUGUUCGUUGCACAGCUGUUUGAAAUGUUUAAUAAAGCUUUAUAAACUUUA